GAUAAAGUCAAUUAAGAAAUAAUUCCCGCAUUGGGUACUUAUAAUUCCCAAUUAGUUCUAGCUGAAUAUUUAUGACCUAGGUGCUAUGACAGUCGAUAAACCAAUUGACCGGAAGUUCUGUGUUGGUGUUUGUGGAGUGUUUGCGGGAGAUAUAGGGAGAUGCUAUCGUACUGGAACUGGACUCCAGGAUGCAGUGCAUCGAGGGUCUUCCCGGACCGGAGCAUUCCUAUAAACCAUUACACAUGCAAAUUCGGUGGCUGCACUUAGCCAAUGCAAUGUGGAUCAGCUAAAUUUAGCGACUUUUUUAUUUUCGUCACUCAUCUUUUGCAACUCGGAGUGGACCCCAAGCAAAUAUUGGCCCAGCCGCCCAUCCGUGCGUCCAAGUUCAGUGAUGUUUGCCCGGCUGUCAUCACUCCCAGUUGGCUGUCAGCCCUCGUGACCAGGCACUCUGCUUUUGUUGCUCAUUUUUGGACAGCCCGAUGUGUGUCCUUUGACUGUCAAGGUCCGUAUCAUCUUAACUCGUCUUCAAACGCCAUCAAAGUCAAAGUCGACUCCCCAUCCAAACCAAACCCUUCCCUUCCCAAGUCAUCACUCCUCCUCCUCUGAUCUUGAUCUCUGUGUACACUGCUCCUCAUGUGGGACUGACGUCAGUGGAAAUUUGUGUAGACUUUAUGAGGCUGCGGCUUAAAGUUUGUUGAUGUUUUUUGUGACUGCUGCCACUGGGGAUUUAUGGGCCACCCACACGGAGAUACUCCGCUUAUCGGCGAGUCGUUUAUCAGGCAUAAAUCUGCCUACUCCGGCAUUUCUGCGUCGGAAUCUGGAAAGAGUUGGACCCCACGAUCUGGGUUCUUAGCAGAAAGUAUGUAUCUUUUGGAAAACAAAGAUAUUUGGUGUACCAAACGCCCCCAAUAAUCUUUAAAUGAGUUUAGACCAUGGAGAUUUUCCUAUAUUUCAUAUCAAUUAAAAGCGAUGCUAAGAAUUCAAACAAGUUGACAAGAAUCUCAAUCAUUUUUAGAGCUAUGCACUUCACUGAUCUCGCCUUGAACUAUCUACACAGAAAUAGAUACAAGAUCAUGGGCACAUGCUUGAUUGUUUUUCCGCUCUCUAAAUAGGUGAAAUAGCAUUUGAUUGGUUCUCCAUUGAUUCUAUCCUGACUUAAUGUUUUAGAUAAACGAUGUACCCCCUUCGUAGCCUACUGAUCCUUCAAUGGUCUCUAUAGAGUCAUGAUCUUGGACAAUUGCUGGCAUUAGUCUAGCUUAUCACCCACUUUGAUGGUCUAUCUUUAGCUUUACGACCUGCCAUUUCGGUGAGCAGCAACAUUAUAACGUUGAAAACAUCAACAUUAUAAUUGGCUUAGUGGGGGCUUUUUCCUAACGCUCUUGUUUGGAUUUCAGAGCUCCACUGACGCAAAACAGAGAAUUCUUUGGGUCACGUGAAUCGAAAGUGCCAAGUCACUUUUGGCUACGCAGUGUCUAUGGUCCAACUGGUCCGGUUUUGCCCCUUAGCCCCAAACCCCUUCCGAACCCCUUCCAACUCCCCUUGGAAACCCCUUCCCAACCCCUUCCCUCCAGUCAAAUGGAAACCGAAAUAAAUGCGCACAGCUCGCGGGCUUGAUUAAUCAUUGCAUGCUCAAUAUCAAUUAAGACAAGGGGAAAAAUACGAGAUCGGUUCUCUGCCCCAGAAGGGGUUAUAUCUAUAUGGCUUCAUGGAAAGAAAGGGAGGGCGAAAGCCAAGAGAAUGGGUUGGAGAGAGAGAAGAAAGGGGAGGAGAAGCAGAAGCGAUGACUAAUUCAAGGGGCUUAAGCAGAAAUCAAUUCAAUGCCCAAUUUCAACAACAUCGACCGAGACGAAAACAACAACCAGAAGAGAGUGGGGCACAUUCUACAUUCUGCAUUCUACAGUCUACAGCCUCCAGUGCGAACCGGUUAGAACCGAUGCCAAUCAACCCGCUGAACCUUUAAGGCAGCUACGUCAUUAGAAUCAAAAAGGGGCGACACCGAGACGAGGCCUUCAGUUCCGCAGAUCCAUUCGGAAGCGAUCUGUAUUGGAUCCUCAGAUCAUUUGCCAUGGGAUUCCGAAGAAUUGACCAAGGAACACCACCUUAUAUUAAAAGCCGAUCGAGAUAUUCAGAUCCUUAAAUCAUUUCGAAGUUGGUUCCCAAAUAAUGUAGAAGAAAUCUUCUGCCUGUAGAAUCCCCCUCACUGCGCACAACUUUAAUGGUCCAUGUAUUAAUGAAAAUCAUACACAUUCUGCAAAACACAUAUUGUUCAUAAAUCAAGAACACGUUCUCGAAGUCGAGUUAUAUCAUUUUGGAAAUGUUGAAAAUAAUGAGUCUCAAUUUCAUAUUGCAUUUUCUGGUAUAAACAAUAGCCGUUUUGUAAACAUUUCUUUAUAUAAUCAUACACAGAAAGUACUUUAUGUAGAUUUAAGUUGGAUUAUUUAUUAUUCCUCUGAUUUAAGGUCGAAUAUUGACUGCACCGCGAAAGAAUUUUGAGUUUAUUUACAUCAAAAUAAGAUGACAAGUGGAAGAUACUGAUGUGGUAUAUAUUUUAUAUCAAGUACAUUGUAAGCUCUUUGCCUUAUAUCUGUAAUUACGCAGCUGUUUGGCGUUUCUUUGCACAAUUUGUAUACAAAAUCAGGCACUACUUCUCAAGAUCCCUACCUAGAGAUAUGGCAAAGCACCUAGAUAUUUCUAGUUGCCUCUAGUUGAUCGGAAGCUGUCAUUGCAUCAAUUGGAAGACGAUCUCGUGAAACUGAGGAACUGUCUGCUUGAGUGCUUUUCCAUUGCAGAGUCAUUUCUAUGUUCAUUUCCAUUCCCAUUUCCAUUUUGAUUUUGAUUUUAAUUUAAUGCCAUUCGCGAACAGGUUUGUGGCGCCCGAGCAGGGACCACAAUGGAUAUGACAACAAUUAGAAUCUGCCACAUGUCGCUGGGCUCUUUGUUCGCCUGGCUCUAUGGAUCUCUAAUACAAAAUACAAAGGGGGCAUCGCAAAAGCCGAAAAGCACUUGUUUUGUUCAGCCCAACGCGGCUUUUGUUUGUACUUGCCAUUUUCUGUCCAACUGUCGUGCGGGGAGCUUGAUUUAAAAUGUUUAUCUGGAUUAGGGCCUUCUGCCGCUAAUGUAAUCGAGGCAUUUUAUAGCCACUACUUGAAAUAGCUACUGGAUCAACAACGGGGCGACACGAGCCACCCGAAGGGCCAUAAAAAGUUAAACAAACGAGCGAGGCCCUCAACUCAACUGGAUGACUUUCGGCGCAAAACAUAUAGACUGGCAAAUGCAUAUACAAUAUAUAUGGUACAUGGUAUAUGCACACCCAGAGAUAUUUGCAUUCUGGUGACCCCGAGCAGGCAAAAAAAAAUGUAUUUAUAAGACUUCCCACUUCAAUGUAUUAUUUGUGUGCUAAAUACUGGCAAUAAGGUGGGCCAGAGCAGAAAAUAGGAGGGGGAAGGCGAAGGAGGGAUCGACGGUGCUAGAGAAAGUGUCAGACUGGUGACCCCCAACAGCCUGAAAUUGCUUACGUGGCGGGUUUUAUGAGAUUUCCCUGGCUCGUUUGUUAUUUGUUUGCUAAAUGCACAGGAAAAACAUUAUCGCUGCCGAUAUUGACUGCUCAAUUUUCGCAUACUGUUCAAAUAAACGAUCUUAGCUUAAUCUUGAUUGAGUUCAAUCAGUAUCUUAUUUA